UUGGUUAAUUCCGUUAACGAACGAGAUCGAGACCCGUCGAUACGGGGAUCGCGUAACACUCAACGGUACGAUCGAAAGACUCGGCAAUAACAGGUCUGUGAUGCCCUCAGAUGUUCUAGGCUGCACACGUGCUACAUUGUGAGUUGUAGUAUAUUGUGUAUGCGUAGAUAUGUCUAAGAUCCCCCGCAUCGAGUCUCAAUUACUCACGUGGUUGGACUCACCGAUUGUUUAUAAUUAUUCGGUAUACUAACUAGGAAUGCCUCGUACCGGGUCGGUUCAACGAGACCCCCUGGAAUCCGUCCCUGCCCUUUGUACACACCGCCCGUCGCUCUUACCGAUGGCCGUGGUUAUUAGUUUAGUUGAGUCUCCAUCGCGAGGUGAAUCUAUGCGCCGUAACCAC
rnacentral:rRNA from 1 species